rnacentral:rRNA from 1 species
UUUAUGGAGAGUUUGAUCCUGGCUCAGAGUGAACGCUGGCGGCGUGCCUAAUACAUGCAAGUCGAACGAUGAAGCUUUCUAGCUUGCUAGAAGGCUGAUUAGUGGCGCACGGGUGAGUAACGCAUAGGUCAUGUGCCUCUUAGUUUGGGAUAGCCAUUGGAAACGAUGAUUAAUACCAGAUACUCCCUACGGGGGAAAGAUUUAUCGCUAAGAGAUCAGCCUAUGUCCUAUCAGCUUGUUGGUAAGGUAAUGGCUUACCAAGGCUAUGACGGGUAUCCGGCCUGAGAGGGUGAACGGACACAC